GAUGAAGAACGCAGCAAAAUGCGAUAAGUAAUGUGAAUUGCAGAAUUCAGUGAAUCAUCGAAUCUUUGAACGCACAUUGCGCCCCUUGGUAUUCCAUGGGGCAUGCCUGUUCGAGCGUCAUUUGUACCUUCAAGCUUUGCUUGGUGUUGGGUGUUUGUCCCGAGGGACUCGCCUUAAAGUAAUUGGCAGCCAGUGUUUGGUUUUGAAGCGCAGCACAAGUCGCGAUUCAAGGCUACACGCCCGCUUCCACAAGCCUUUUUUCACUUUUGACCUCGGAUCAGGUAGGGAUACCCGCUGAACUUAAGCAUAUCAAUAAGCGGAGGA
rnacentral:misc_RNA from 1 species